GAUGAACGCUGGCGGCGUGCCUAAUACAUGCAAGUCGAGCGAACGGACGAGAAGCUUGCUUCUCUGAUGUUAGCGGCGGACGGGUGAGUAACACGUGGAUAACCUACCUAUAAGACUGGUAUAACUUCGGGAAACCGGAGCUAAUACCGGAUAAUAUUUUGAACCGCAUGGUUCAAAAGUGAAAGACGGUCUUGCUAUCACUUAUAGAUGGAUCCGCUCUGCAUUAGCUAGUUGGUAAGGUAACGGCUUACCAAGGCAACGAUGCAUAGCCGACCUGAGAGGGUGAUCGGCCACAGUGGAACGGAGACACGGUCAAGACUCCUACGGGAGGCAGCAGUAGGGAAUCUUCCGCAAUGGGCGAAAUCCUGACGGAGCAACGCCGCGUGAGUGAUGAAGGUCUUCGGAUCGUAAAACUCUGUUAUUAGGGAAGAACAUAUGUGUAAGUAACUGUGCACAUCUUGACGGUACCUAAUCAGAAAGCCACGGCUAACUACGUG
rnacentral:rRNA from 1 species